UGUCCUCUGGGACACUGACAGAGACGCUUCUGGAAGUAUAAAUACACGUACUAUUAUCAUGAGCUGUUGCCGCAGCUCUCCAGAGCUAAUUUAUAGAAAUGUGAUCUACCAGCAGAGAGGGAAGGGGGCAUAAAUGAAUUACCAGCCAGUUUCCUCUCCUUUCAACUCCGUGGGGGAAGGCCGCCGGCCAGAAGGAAAAAGCAUCAUAGUGCCAGACCGGUGGGGACCAGGAACAGUGCCGAGACUCUGGUCAGGAAUGCAGCGAGGCUCUUCUUCGAACAGCCUGGGCACGCAGGUGUCAGAGAUACGUGCGGAUUUGGCCUGCUAUAAAUGAGGACCCUACAGGGCCCGCUGCUAACAUUGCAAUAGGAACACGAAGCAGGCUGUUUGCAGAUGGAAAACGUCAGGACGCACGGCUGACACGCCUCCUCACGGGGUGGCGUUGGAGUCCUGAGAUCCAAUCACGCCCCACACUAAACGUGCUAUUUCUGUACUUUUUAAUACAACGGUAUUUGGGGAAAGGAGGGAAAAUAAACGGGGCGCGGUUGCAGUCUAGUCACGUGAGUGACUAAUUAGAGGACCCCUGUUCUCCCAGGACAUUGGGCUACAUUAAUUCAAAGUGUGACUUGUUUGUUUUGUAGGGUCAAGGAGACGCUUUACCUCCUAGAAAGCCAAAGUGGCAAUUAGAUUAGUCACCAGAGUUUGCCCGAGGUAACGCAUGAAAAAGGGCUUUGUAAAUUACAUAAAAUAGAAGUGUCCCCGUUGAGGCUGUCCCCGCUGCCCCCAAUUAGGGGGCAUAAUAGUUUGUUCCUGGUGGGAGGCAGAGAUGAGCCCUGAUCUAGUUAAGGGAGCACCUGGCCGAGCACAAAGAACACAGGAGAAGGGACCGUAACUGCGAAUCCCGACUGCACCAAAGCGGAUCUCUUAUCUCUGCGAAUCUGCAAGGCUGGGCCCGUGUGGCUCAGUGCGCAUGCGCCCGUGUCAUAUGUGGGACUAGCUGGAAGGAAGACAAGGGAUUGUCCAGCAAGAGAUUGGGAUGUGCUUGGUGAUGGGACAAGAACACGGCGUGUACUCUAUUUACUCUGGAAUCGGCGAGACUUGCGGUUCCGGGGAUUCAUUUAUUUCCUAAGAUCUCUGCUUACAACACUCUUCACCUCCCUCUCUCGGGAGAACAUCCAC